rnacentral:rRNA from 1 species
UACAGAGGGUGGAAGCGUUAUUCGGAAUUAUUGGGCGUAAAGAGCGCGUAGGUGGUUCGGUAAGUCUGAUGUGAAAUCCCUGGACUCAAUUCAGGAAGCGCAUUGGAUACUGCCAGGCUAGAGUACAGGAGAGGUGAGCGGAAUUCCCGGUGUAGAGGUGAAAUUCGUAGAUAUCGGGAGGAACAACAGUGGCGAAGGCGGCUCACUGGACUGUAACUGACGCUGAGGCGCGAAAGCGUGGGGAGCAAACAGG